GAUUGCCCAGUAACGGCGAGUGAAGCGGCAACAGCUCAAAUUUGAAAUCUUGGCCCCCAGGGUCCGAGUUGUAAUUUGCAGAGGAUGAUUUUGGCGAGGUGCCUUCCGAGUUCCCUGGAACGGGACGCCACAGAGGGUGAGAGCCCCGUCUGGUUGGACGCCGAGCCUAUGUAAAUCUCCUUCGACGAGUCGAGUAGUUUGGGAAUGCUGCUCUAAAUGGGAGGUAUAUGUCUUCUAAAGCUAAAUAUUGGCCAGAGACCGAUAGCGCACAAGUAGAGUGAUCGAAAGAUGAAAAGCACUUUGAAAAGAGGGUUAAAUAGUACGUGAAAUUGUUGAAAGGGAAGCGCUCAUGACCAGACUUGGGCCCGGUGAAUCAUCCAGCGUUCUCGCUGGUGCACUUUGCCGGGCUCAGGCCAGCAUCAGUUUGCCCCGGGGGAUAAAGGCUUUGGGAAUGUGGCUCCUCCGGGAGUGUUAUAGCCCAUUGCAUAAUAUCCUGGGGCGGACUGAGGUUCGCGCAUCUGCAAGGAUGCUGGCGUAAUGGUCAUCAGCGACCCGUCUUGAAACACGGACCAAGGAGUCGUCUUCGUAUGCGAGUGUUCGGGUGUAAAACCCCUACGCGUAAUGAAAGUGAACGCAGGUGAGAGCUUCGGCGCAUCAUCGACCGAUCCUGAUGUUCUCGGAUGGAUUUGAGUAAGAGCAUACGGGGCCGGACCCGAAAGAAGGUGAACUAUGCCUGUAUAGGGUGAAGCCAGAGGAAACUCUGGUGGAGGCUCGCAGCGGUUCUGACGUGCAAAUCGAUCGUCAAAUAUGGGCAUGGGGGCGAAAGACUAAUCGAACCUU
rnacentral:rRNA from 1 species